rnacentral:rRNA from 1 species
UAGCAUAUCAGUAAGCGGAGGAAAAGAAACUAACCAGGAUUCUCCUAGUAACGGCGAGUGAACGGAGAAUAGCCCAUCGCCGAAGUCUAUUCACUUUUGUGAACAGGACAAUGUGGCGUUUAGGCAUGUGCCUGGGAGUGCUGACCUGUCCUAAGUCCAACUUCGAUUGCGGCUUUGGUUAUUGUCCAUAGCGGGUGAAAGACCCGUUCGGGCAGGUGUGUCUGUUUGUAUAAGCGCUCCCGUGAUGCAUGUGCUCUCGAGUCGGAUUGCUUGAGAAUGCAGUCCAAAGUGGGUGGUAAACUCCAUCCAAGGCUAAAUACUGGCACGAGUCCGAUAGUAGACAAGUACCGCGAGGGAAAGUUGAAAAGUACUCUGAAGAGAGAGUAAACAGUACGUGAAACCGUUUGCAGAGAAUCAGUUGGAGUCAAGCUUCGUGCCCGAAAGAUUAUCGUUUGAACAUUGUUGUGUUGGGACCGUGGGUCGCGCAACUUGGAAUAAGUUGGAUGCGGUUUUCGCAUUUCAAGGCAUUCUGGGCAGCGUGUUUGUCUCGGCUCGGUGGUCCCGGUUUGAGCGAGUGAUUUUUCGUGGCAUAAAUCAAGGUAUCUAGUGACUUGUGUAUUGUGAUGUGCUAACGUUGCUCAAGUCAAUUCAUUUUGACUGGGUGGCGAAUGGAAGGUGUGUUCAGCGUUGUCCUUUGGGUGGCGUUGUUCAUUAAUCUAGUUUCGACUUUCCGCGCAUCAUGACUGUGUAUUGUCAUUAGACAGUUGUGUGUAUUUGGUGGACGGUCCAUGUGAUCGUUUGCCGUUCAAGUCCUUGAUUCUGAGGUAGACGUUCCACCUGACCCGUCUUG